rnacentral:rRNA from 1 species
UACAGGGGGGUGCAAACGUUGCUCGGAAUCAUUGGGCGUAAAGCGCACGUAGGCGGUUCGUUAUGUCGGAUGUGAAAGCCCUUGGCUUAACCGAGGAAGUGCAUCCGAAACUGGCGAGCUAGAGUACGAAAGAGGAUCGCGGAAUUCCCGGUGUAGAGGUGAAAUUCGUAGAUAUCGGGAGGAACACCGGUGGCGAAGGCGGCAUCCUGGACCGAUACUGACGCUGAGGAGCGAAAGCCAGGGGAGCAAACGGG